GAGGACCGUAUUCAUGGAAGAGGAUCGAACAGAAGACUACUGAGUUCUUAUGAGAAAAAUGGCUCUUAAGAAAUUGAAGGUGAUACCAAAGGAAAGUUACUUAUUACUUUUGGACUUUGAUGAUGAGGACGAUGAUAUAAAAGUUUCAGAGGAGGCUCUUUCGGAAGAGAUGAAGUAGACAGUAUGUUGGAUAAAUCUGAAGAUGACAUUUAUAAGACGCUUCACAUAAAGAGAAAAUGGAUGGAAACUUAUGUCAAAGAAUCUUUCAAAGGCAGGAACCAGAAAUUAGAAAGAUUUUGCAAAAUGAACGAACGAGAGAGGAAGAACAUCAACAACAAAUUUUGUGAGCAGUAUAUAACUACAUUUCAGAAGUCUUAUAUGGAUGUACAGAAAUUCAAUGAGGAAAAAGAAAAAUCAGUGAAUAGUUGUCAAAAAGAACAACAAGCAUUGAAACUGUCCAAAUGUAGUCAGAACCAGACCCUGGAAGCAGGUAAAGAAAUGCAUGAGAAGUCCAUGGAGCUGCAUCAUUGGACUCAAACUGAAUGGUCCAUGUGUUGCCACUGAUGUGAGCCAUU
rnacentral:lncRNA from 1 species